CGCUGUUGGUACAAGUCUCAAACUUGCAGCUUGAAUGUGGAAUCCAGGGUGCUGGGUUUGUUUGGACUGGAGAGGAGAGCAAAGUGUUUGAAAAUCUGGAGUUGAGUACCUUUAAGGAAUCUAAGUUCUUGAUGAGAAACCAGAGGCCCAGAGAGGGGAGAGAACAUUCCCAGAAUUGGUCAGCUCAGUGCUUGUAGCUGUCGACUUAGUCCGGGCAUUCUUCAGGCCACUGAAUUCCAUCCGCUGAGUUCCAUCCUGUUCUGAAACACUUCAUGUUCGGGGUUUUCCUUGUUGAGAUGGGGCUGACCCAGCCAGAUGGAGCCUCGAUUUGUCAGCCACGGGGCACGAGCCCCCAGGAGUUCUCCAAUAUCCUUCUCACCAACUUUGUGAGAUUCUACAGCUUUGGUUAAGAUUUGAAGAUUUCCUUCACCAUCAACUUGUAACCUUGUCUUUUGGUGGUAAUAACACAUCUACUUCUGGGAUGCAGAGAUGGUCAUACGACUCAGAUUUAGCCAACCAAAAUGCCCUAUUUGCCUGGCCACCGUAACUGGUUCAGGAAAGGCAACAGGAUCCAAGCCCUCUGGGAGUUUUGCUGGAAGCAUUGAGCUAUGCCAGGCCCUCCAGGAGUUGUUAAGCCAGUUGGCUGUGGGCCUGGGAAUGAAGCCAAUAUGGAGAGAAGCUGUCUGGAGAUACACCCAGAGAUACCACCUGGGCGCCUGGAUCCAGCUAUGCCUGAAGCUCAGAAACUCCUGGACUUGAAGUUUCACAAACCAAUAAAUUUGCCCAUUUGCAUAAAUUAGUGUGAGCUGAUCUUCUGUAACUUGUCUCAGAGAGAACCGAAGCCGCUUUACCUGGAGAAGAAUAAUCAGGAAUGUGAGAAUGAGAGCAGGGCCACUAUCUCCAAAGAGCCGAAGGGUGGCCCUGGCCUUGUAUACAGAUUGUGUGUUUCCAGUGGGCAGGAGGAUCUGGAGCAGGAUGUUGGCUCUACGAAGAAGAACUUUCCCACAGUUAGAGCUGUUCAAAGAGGACCCCGCGCCACCUGGAGGGAGAGGGUGACUUCCUGUCUCUGGGGGUACGCAAACAGAAGCAGGAUGUGAUGAAAGGGCCUGAGGCUGGCUAGAACAGCAAUCCUGUAAUUGACUAUGACUCCAUACCUCAGACCAGCUUCAGUGGAGAGCUGGAGAAUACCAUUUGCUCGCCAUUUUCCAUCGUAAAAUAUUUCAAGGGGCA